UUAACCGGAUUAGAUACCCUGGUAGUCCACGCCGUAAACGAUGUCUACUUGGAGGUUGUGGCCUUGAGCCGUGGCUUUCGGAGCUAACGCGUUAAGUAGACCGCCUGGGGAGUACGGUCGCAAGAUUAAAACUCAAAUGAAUUGACGGGGGCCCGCACAAGCGGUGGAGCAUGUGGUUUAAUUCGAUGCAACGCGAAGAACCUUACCUACUCUUGACAUCCAGAGAAGCCAGCGGAGACGCAGGUGUGCCUUCGGGAACUCUGAGACAGGUGCUGCAUGGCUGUCGUCAGCUCGUGUUGUGAAAUGUUGGGUUAAGUCCCGCAACGAGCGCAACCCUUAUCCUUGUUUGCCAGCGAGUCAUGUCGGGAACUCCAGGGAGACUGCCGGUGAUAAACCGGAGGAAGGUGGGGAUGACGU
rnacentral:rRNA from 1 species